UAAGACGAAGGUGGCGAGCGUUGUUCGGUGUCACUGGGCUUAAAGCGUGUGUAGGCGGAAAGAUUAGCGUCUUGUGAAAUCCCCCGGCUUAACCGGGGAAUCGCUUGGCGAACUGUCUUUCUUGAGGCAAGUAGGGGUGCAUGGAACUCUUGGUGGAGCGGUGGAAUGCGUAGAUAUCAAGAGGAACGCCAGUGGUGAAGACGAUGCACUGGGCUUGUCCUGACGCUGAGACACGAAAGCGUGGGGAGCGAACGGGAUUAGAUACCCCGGUAGUCCACGCCGUAAACGAUGUCUACUAGGUUGUGGGUGUUCUGACACAGUCUCGACCGAAGCAAAAGUGAUAAGUAGACCGCCUGGGGAGUACGGUCGCAAGGCUA
rnacentral:rRNA from 1 species